rnacentral:rRNA from 1 species
AUUAAAGAGUUCUAUAACUCCCAAACCCAUGUGAACAUACCAUACGUUGCCUCGGCAGGUCGCGCCUACCCCGUAGCGUCCUACCCUAUAGGACCUACCCGGUAGACGCGGGUAAGCCUGCCGGCGGCCCAAGAAACUCUGUUUAGUAUUGAAUUCUGAACCUAUAACUAAAUAAGUUAAAACUUUCAACAACGGAUCUCUUGGUUCUGGCAUCGAUGAAGAACGCAGCGAAAUGCGAUAAGUAAUGUGAAUUGCAGAAUUCAGUGAAUCAUCGAAUCUUUGAACGCACAUUGCGCCCAUUAGUAUUCUAGUGGGCAUGCCUGUUCGAGCGUCAUUUCAACCCUUAAGCCCUCGUUGCUUAGUGUUGGGAGCCUACGGUACCCGUAGCUCCUCAAAGUUAGUGGCGGAGUCGGUUCACACUCUAGACGUAGUAAUUUUAUCUCGCCUAUCAGUUGGACCGGUCCCCUGCCGUAAAACACCCCAAUUUCUAAAGGUUGACCUCGGAUCAGGUAGGAAUACCCGCUGAACUUAAGCAUAUCAAUAAGCGGAGGAAAAGAAACCAACAGGGAUUGCCCUAGUAACGGCGAGUGAAGCGGCAACAGCUCAAAUUUGAA